AGAUAGAGGCGCGAGGUUCAUCAGUACGUUUCUGUAAAAGGAAUCAGCUUUCCGCAGAAACCGAAAGGGAAUAUCGCCGAAGUAAGAAGCAGUGGCUGAACGGUUUCUUACUGGGCCGUCGGAAAACAUCCGCCGGACUGUCACGCAAGUGGAGCGCUAUCGU
rnacentral:ncRNA from 1 species